CAUAUAUACUAGUUAAGCAUGUCGCAUCACUCAGACUAGCAUAGUUACACUGCAGCCUCACAGUUGCCGACCUAAUCGAUAGGACAUGUUGGACAUGACCUAACGCAUUACAAAUUCAGCAAGAUAGCAUUGUAGUCUCACUGUUGUUGUUGAAAAUUUUUACUGACCUAAUCGACAAGAUAUGAGUAAUCAAACUUAUACGCAACGAAUUGUAUUAAUAGUU